rnacentral:lncRNA from 1 species
CGGGCCCGGGAGCGCUGCACCCGCUGGGAAGGGGCCGCGGGGGAGCCUGCGAGGCCCGCAGCUCCCUGGCAGGAGGCUGCGGCCCGGCCUCUGCUCCCGGGCAGGCAGCGGCAGGAGGAGAGGACACGGCCUCGAGCUGCGCCAGAGGAGGUUUAGGGUGGGCAGUGAGAUGAAUUUCUUGAGAAAGGGUGAUCGGACAUUGGAACGAGCUGCCCAGGGAGGCGGUGGUGGAGUCACCGUCCCUGGAGGUGUUUUAGGGAAGGCUGGACGUGGCACUCGGUGUCUGACCGACACCGCGGUGUUCUGUCCUGGCUUGGACCCGAUGACCCCAGAGGUCUUUCCCAACCCGCUUGAUUCGGUGAUUCUGUUAAGUAUUUCUGAUUUAUUGAACUAUUUCUGAUUUAUGGAGUGUACCGUGAGCUAGAGCAUCUCCACCCAUGGCUUUCCAUCCCAGGUUCAUGGCCACAUUCAGGGCUGGGGAGCUGCCGUGCUGGUGCAGCAGCCCUGGGAAGCACACAGGUGCCAGAGGCCAAGUGUUGCUCCUGAGCUGGGCUGUGAUUUCCCUCUUUGUCAGAUAUUUCCCCUAUUUUUGCCUGAAGAUGCUUCCCAGUAGUGCUUGGGCUUCCCUGUGCACUGUGGUGACACCCAGUUGUGGUAGAAACCCCUGUGACCCUGCCUGCCAUAAAUACCCCCCAGCACCCUGCAGAAUCAAACUGCAGACCAGUGCCCUGUUAGCAGGAGGAGAGGGUGUGGGAAUUGGCAGGGUGCUGCUGAAUUCCAGUUUCAAGAGGUGGAUCCCUUUCCUGGGAUGGGCAGAGUGGAUUUCAUCCCUCCUGGCUGAAGCUCCCUGUAAGUUCUCUGGGAUAAACCAGGUAACCACCAGGAUGAGCCAGUCCAUUUUGGGGGUGGGAUGGCUCACCUCUGCAUCUGCCUGUUUCUUUGCUUUUCAGAAAACCAAAAAUGAAAAGACCCUGCGAAUUUUACAUCCCAAUCCACUGAACCUGGGAGCAGCCCUUUUCAUUUUGUACCGUACAGGGCUCACUGCAUGCUGCCUUCUUGACAUCAGGGAAGAUGCUCCUGGAUCCACCAGGAAAAAAGUCCUGGCUUCACUCCAGUACUUCAGCAAAAUCCUGUUCCUUUUCUCUAGGCAUUGA